rnacentral:rRNA from 1 species
UACAGAGGUCCCAAGCGUUGUUCGGAAUUACUGGGCGUAAAGGGCUCGUAGGUGGCCAACUAAGUCAGACGUGAAAUCCCUCGGCUUAACCGGGGAACUGCGUCUGAUACUGGAUGGCUUGAGUUUGGGAGAGGGAUGCGGAAUUCCAGGUGUAGCGGUGAAAUGCGUAGAUAUCUGGAGGAACACCGGUGGCGAAGGCGGCAUCCUGGACCAACACUGACACUGAGGAGCGAAAGCUAGGGGAGCAAACGGG